UUCGUAUUGUUGUGAGAGAGGUGAAAUUCUUAGACCACAGCAAGACGAACUACUGCGAAAGCAUUUGCCAAGAAUGUUUUCAUUGAUCAAGAACGAAAGUUAGAGGUUCGAAGGCGAUCAGAUACCGCCCUAGUUCUAACCAUAAACUAUGCCAACUAGCAAUUUGCUUACGUAUGUUUUACGACUAAGUGAGAGGCCACGGGAAACCAAAGUAGGGUUAUGGGGGAAGUAUGGUUGCAAAGCUGAAACUUAAAGGAAUUGACGGAAGGGCACCACCAGGAGUGGAGCCUGCGGCUUAAUUUGACUCAACACGGGAAAACUUACCUGGUCCUGACACUAGAAGGAUUGACAGAUUGAUAGCUCUUUCUUGAUUUGGUGGAUGGUGGUGCAUGGCCGUUCUUAGUUGGUGGAGUGAUUUGUCUGGUUAAUUCCGAUAACGAACGAGACUCUAGCCUAUUAAAUAACACACAGAAUCUCGUCUUCUGUGGCGUUCCUUAAUGGGAUCAAGUGUGUUUAACACUU
rnacentral:rRNA from 1 species